rnacentral:lncRNA from 1 species
GGUAGAAGUAGCUUGAGUGCAGACUUAAGACAUAGUUAGAUGUGUAGUCAAGCAAUGAAGCCAAAGUUAAGAACAACUGCUAAUCCAAGCUCUCUUCCUUGCAAACCUUCACUGGUAAAGAAAAAAUUAAAAAAGGAAGAAGAUGACUAUGAAUAACCGGAUAAAUUAAAAAAUCUUUAAAUGAGAGAUCUUUUGACAAAUAGCUCAUCGAUAUGUAACCAGAGGAAUGGAAUUCUCUACAUCACUGUAAAGAAAGAAUACCUAAAACUUAAUUCAAAAGGUAUUCAAUGGUCAUAUGGAAAGGCUCCAAAGGCAAAUGAUAACUGAAAAAAGUGGUGAACCAUAGGAAAUACUUAUCAUGAAAGGAAAAACAUCAACCUGAAAUUCCUAUAUUUUUCAUUUCUUCAUGGUUCAGUUAACAAAAAUCUAAGAAAUAUAUUUUAAUAAUUUAAUUGAAUUCUUUUAUAUCCUUAAGAUAUUUAUGUAAAAUGCUCUCACUGAGAUUACUUAUAUAGAACAAGGUAGGUUCUAUCACUUUAAAAUAGGAAGUUUGAGAACUAAAAUGUGGAAUAGUGAAGAUUGGCACAACUUUCACUGGACACUUUAUCACAUGACACUCUUCUAAUUUCUAAAGCGUCUGUUUUAUCACGCUUGUGUCUAAAUUCAUAGGACUACGCUAAUGGAUAAUCCAUAAAAAAUCAAAAAACAGGCAUCUUACAUCUGAAAAAGGAACACACUUCCUUGGAAUCCAUAUCAUUCAAGCUGUUCUAAUUCCAACAUAUGGAACAAGUAUGCUAGCCCUCCACAAGGCCUACAAUGCAAACAUAUUAUAUGCUAAUUAACUGCCAACUCAAAAUUUUCAUGAAUAUGAACAAUUUUAGUGUUCCCAUGUCUUGUUAAACGCUUUAAAAAAUGAGAGAUUUGGAAAUAAUUAGAAAUAACACCCUUUAAUGACUAUAACAACCACGAGGUCCACUACUGAAAAUCACUUUAUAAGUAGAAACUUCUUAACAUAAACAAACAUUCCGUAAUAAGAAUUCAUCGAGAUCGAGUCAGAGUAGCUGCAUCACUUUCUUUAGAGACCUUUCGAACCAGAGAUAUAAGAAAAUAUACAAAAAUGGAGAAGAAGAAGAAGACGAAGCCUUUCUACCUUUAACAGACAUCUUAUAAUUUUGAUAAAAAUAUAUAUAUUUAUGCAUGAUUGUAUUACUACACUGAUAGAUAAAAAAACUACAAUAGUACUUAUAACAAAGGUUUUGGGAGGCAAUAACGUGAAGGAAGACUUUAUUACGACCGACGAGCCCUGCGACCUACAUAACUCAAAGAAUAUUGUGUUGCCGAAGUGGCCAUCACUACAUAAGCAAAAACUUAAUAAAGUAUUCAUUCUUUAAGUUAAUAACACAUAAAGGACCAGAGUGAAGAGUAAGUAAAGCCUGAAGAUAAGAUAAAAUUUAAAACAAAAAUGACAACUACUUUAAUAAAAAUUUUAAUGUCAUUUCCUCCAUCAAAAUUACCUAUACCUUCAUUUGGAGGAGUUGUAGAAGGUGUAUUCACAUCUAUUACUACCCCAUAACACCAUUUUUUAUACAUAUAUUCAAAUAAAUACAAAGUAGAAGAUUAAAAAAUAUUUGAGGAAUACUAAACUAGAGACUUAAAUUAAAAUAGUUCGUAUGUCACAAGGAACUCCAGACCAACUCAGAAGACCUCAGUUUUCAUUACUGGAAUUGAUAAUUUAUUACAAUAACACUUUUGAAUGCAACUGGUCAAAUAAAAAUUGCAACACUUGAAUACAUUAUGGGGAAUUAGAUCCAAGAAGGCAUCACAUUACUUUUAUGACAAAUAAAGGCUAUAAACUUUCAAUUGAUGCAAGAUAUAACAACAGAAUCAAGUGUAUAACAGAAUUCAAAAGAUUUGCAGCAGUAUGCCUUCUUUAGCACUAUGAAUCUACAAUUAUUGUUAUCUAUAUUAUCCAAGUAGAAAUUGCCAUAUGUAACUGCAGAACAAUUGUUAAAAAAAAAUUCAAGCUUUUAUUACUUUGUGUUAACUUUCAAGACUCGCCUAGAUGUUACAGUGGACAACACUCAUUCGGUGAAUGACUAGAAGAAAAAAUCAGUUAGGUUUUGAAAUUUUUGCAACAUCCUAGGGUUAACACUCAUAUUUUGAAUGAUUAGAAGCACCCCUAUUUGCGUGUAUGCUUUCAAUUAGACUAAUAUCUCGAGGGAACACUUCUCAAGUCUUUGGGGAAAGGGUAUCCAUCAUUAGCGAUAAGCGCGCGCGCGCACAUAUAUAUAUAUAUAGAGAGAGAGAGAGAUGAACUGGGUUACCUGUGGAUGGCUCCAUGGUGGCCGGGGACUGUAAAAGACUAAUUGGUUCGACAACAACGGAGAAUUAGAUCCAAGUCUUUGGGGUUGUUGGCCGGCAACGGGUAGG